AUACGUAGGGGGCGAGCGUUGUCCGGAAUGAUUGGGCGUAAAGGGCGCGUAGGCGGCGCGGUAAGUCUGGAGUGAAAGUCCUGCUUUCAAGGAUGGAAGUGCUACAGAAACUGCGGAGCUUGAGUGCAGGAGAGGUUAUCGGAAUUCCCGGUGUAGCGGUGAAAUGCGUAGAGAUCGGGAGGAACACCAGUGGCGAAGGCGGGUAACUGGACUGCAACUGACGCUGAGGCGCGAAAGUGUGGGGAGCAAACAGGAUUAGAUACCCUGGUAGUCCACACUGUAAACGAUGAAUGCUAGGUGUAGGAGGUAUCGACCCCUUCUGUGCCGCAGUAAACACAGUAAGCAUUCCGCCUGGGGAGUACGGUCGCAAGAUUAAAACUCAAAUGAAUGGACGGGG
rnacentral:rRNA from 1 species